rnacentral:rRNA from 1 species
GACGAACGCUGGCGGCGUGCUUAACACAUGCAAGUCGAACGCUGAAGCUCAGCUUGCUGGGUGGAUGAGUGGCGAACGGGUGAGUAACACGUGAGUAACCUGCCCCCCUCUUUGGGAUAACGCCCGGAAACGGGUGCUAAUACUGGAUAUUCACUGGCCUUCGCAUGGGGGUUGGUGGAAAGGUUUGUUCUGGUGGGGGAUGGGCUCGCGGCCUAUCAGCUUGUUGGUGGGGUGAUGGCCUACCAAGGCUUUGACGGGUAGCCGGCCUGAGAGGGUGACCGGUCACAUUGGGACUGAGAUACGGCCCAGACUCCUACGGGAGGCAGCAGUGGGGAAUAUUGCACAAUGGGCGAAAGCCUGAUGCAGCGACGCCGCGUGAGGGAUGGAGGCCUUCGGGUUGUAAACCUCUUUCGCUCAUGGUCAAGCCGCAACAGUGGUUGUGGUGAGGGUAGUGGGUAAAGAAGCGCCGGCUAACUACGUGCCAGCAGCCGCGGUAAUACGUAGGGCGCGAGCGUUGUCCGGAAUUAUUGGGCGUAAAGGGCUUGUAGGCGGUUGGUCGCGUCUGCCGUGAAAUCCUCUGGCUUAACUGGGGGCGUGCGGUGGGUACGGGCUGACUUGAGUGCGGUAGGGGAGACUGGAACUCCUGGUGUAGCGGUGGAAUGCGCAGAUAUCAGGAAGAACACCGGUGGCGAAGGCGGGUCUCUGGGCCGUUACUGACGCUGAGGAGCGAAAGCGUGGGGAGCGAACAGG